rnacentral:siRNA from 1 species
UGAGGUCCUUAUAGCGAAUGAGUU